AAAAAUGCCUCCAUGAGAUCCAGCUGUAAGACAUUUUCUCAAUUAGUGAUCAAGGGUAAGAGGGCCCAUUGUGGGUGGCACCAUCCCUGGGCUGGUAGUCUUG
rnacentral:miRNA from 14 species